AUCUAACUGACGAGUCUUAAAUAGGACGAAAUGUGCAUCUUGGAU
rnacentral:hammerhead_ribozyme from 1 species